CGAAGCAUCGCAGGGGGUCGGGUUGGGUGGGUUCAGUCUCCCCACCCCGGGGUUAGGGUUGCGUUUGUUCGGUUUUGCCACCCCCGAGCUGCUGUACCUCUGCACAGCCCGCUGGGCACCCUGAGGGUGAUAGCUAGGAGCUCGCUUGCAGUUUUCUCUGAGGGCAAAAACCCUCUCCAGUCCCUCAGGAGAUGCCUGCUUUAGGCUUCGUGGUCUUAAAGGGUGACUGGAAGUGCUUGUAGGGCUCUGAAGGGGAGAAAAGAGACAGCUGGAGGUCAGGCUAGCAGGGGAUGUUUGGGUUAAAUAGCGUGGGUUUCCUUGCCGUGGAGUUAUCUGGCGUGUGGGACUCAUUUCAUGCCCUGAUGAAACUGCAAAUACCUGCCUGACACUAGCAGCAGUCCUAGCAGAGAAUAUUCAGUAGCGCCUCUGAAAACUGUUCUGCUUUCUCUGUGUAAUUAGUACUAAGCUGUGAGAAAGAACAGGUUUGUAGAGGUUGAUGGGUUAGUUUCUUAGAAAACAAAAGUCUGAAAUCGGGCCCCAACUGUUCAUUUACAAAGUUAUCACUCUUAUACUUCUGCCCCAGUGAUUAUCACCUGGAGAAUGGAGCAGUUCGGCAGGAAGACAGAGAAAGCUGGGAGAAAUCAACCACAACAAUGCUGAAAUAACCUGAGCGUGGCAGUUAAAGCACACCUACAGGGACAAGAGUUGACAUCCUGCCAGGUGGAAAGGAGUGUUGAACCCUCAGAUCUUUCAGAUCCAGAGAAAGUGAUCUAACCACUGAUUUUCAGACAAAAGAGUGGUGGGGCAGCUUCAUCACUCGUCUGUAUUUGUGCAGAACCUGACUUGGUGGGUGUCCUUUGAGGAGUGAUACUGGAAGGCAUGUUGAGUUUGUAAACCCUGGCGAGGUUUAGGAAUGAACUAAGUGUUGACUUCCUCAACAUAGUCAGGACUGGAAGCUUUUCUGAGCAUACCCACAUGCAAAAACUUGAGCUGCCUGCACCUUUUGAUAGCUGCUGAAUGACAUUUUGAGGAUGGCAGGUUUUAUUUUAGUAAAGUGCAAAUUAAACAAGGUUGACACACCUGAGUCCAUUAUUUGGUGCAUAUUGGCCCUGGUAUACAGACAUUACAACAAGGUGUUUUAUAACAACACAAACAGAGCAGAAUAACAGAACUUGUCAAAAAAACUAGCUAUAGCAUUGAAGCACAGGGACCAAAAGGGCAGCAUGUAAUCAGAAGCUCCAGUAAGAGAAAAAAAGGAGUGACAGUCCAUGGAGGGGCUAGCUGGCAGAUGGCAAGGAGGCAGCAGCGAUCAAGAUGAAAGUAAUAUGUGCAAUUAAAUGAGAUAGCCAUAUAGUUAGCAACCCCAUCAGCCAGCUUCUCAUAAUUCCUAUUUCAUAAUAGCUAAUAUGCAGCUUUGAUCUCUCAUUCGUAAUAAUUUAGCCUGAGGAUUGUAGGUGUGUGUUAAGCUGUUUCAAGUAAAAGCAGCUUCAGUGCAUAUGCUGUCUGCUUUCUGCAGAAAGAUUAUCCUUGUAGUCCUUCUAGUUUGGACAGUUCUUGCCUACCCUGUAAUUCCAGGUAUUUAAUCUACCCAAAUAGCUAUUUUAAUUUCUUACUGAAAAGAGGUUCCUUGGUGCCUGGAUUAUCAUUUUAUUAACAAUUAAUAAACUUCUACUUCUUAAUGUCAUUCACUGUAAGGACCUUGAGACAUGUCGUUUCUCAAAAUCCCUGGUAAUGAUAAUCUUUCCAGCCCAAUUGUUUAAUAUGCUCUACAAUAAGUCAUUAGUGUUAACUAAUUGCUCCACUUCCUAUAUGUUCACAGCAAGGGGCAAGAAUUCAUAUAAAAAUGCUGGCUAGAAAUAGCAACCUGAAGUAAUACUCUGUCAGUAUGGCUUAUAGUCAGAAUUUAGGAUCCAUAAGUACUCAAGCACUGAAAUUUCAUUGAUUAAAUGUUCCUUGUGUUGGCACAUCUUAGACACAGACAUGAUAUGAGGAAGAGACACUGAGCUACAAAAAAUGUUCUGAGGAACUUAGACUCACAUGAAGAUAUCUACGUGGGGACACUUCAGUCUAGGUGUCAGAACUUAGAGGUUUGCCAGGUUGUACCAGAAGAUGUGGAAGUUAAAGCACAGAAAGAUGAAGUUGUUUAUUUGAGGUCAUCCAGCAGAGCAGCCAGAGAGAGAAAAAUAGAAUGGAGUCCUUCAGUGCUCACUCUGUUGCAUCACUCCAUCUUCCUAUUUUGAUGAAAAUGUCUGAAAUUUAAUUU